GCCCCCGUAGCUCAGUGGACAGAGCAGGAGCCUUCUAAGCUCUUGGUCGAGGGUUCGAAUCCUUCCGGGGGCACCC
rnacentral:tRNA from 1 species